UGGGGAAUAUUGGACAAUGGGGGGAACCCUGAUCCAGCCAUGCCGCGUGUGUGAAGAAGGCCUUAUGGUUGUAAAGCACUUUAAGCGAGGAGGAGGGUACUGGUAUUAAUACUACCAGGUACUGGACGUUACUCGCAGAAUAAGAACCGGCUAACUCUGUGCCAGCAGCCGCGGUAAUACAGAGGGUGCGAGCGUUAAUCGGAUUUACUGGGCGUAAAGCGUGCGUAGGCGGCUAAUUGAGUCGGAUGUGAAAUCCCCGGGCUUAACUUGGGAAUUGCAUUCGAUACUGGUUAGCUAGAGUGUGGGAGAGGAUGGUAGAAUUCCAGGUGUAGCGGUGAAAUGCGUAGAGAUCUGGAGGAAUACCGAUGGCGAAGGCAGCCAUCUGGCCUAACACUGACGCUGAGGUACGAAAGCAUGGGGAGCAAACAGG
rnacentral:rRNA from 1 species